rnacentral:lncRNA from 1 species
AUUAAUUUUUAGGGGCAAUUGUCUAUAUAUUUCUGAAAAAUUUUUAAUUUUUUAAUUUACUCCUCUUAGAAGGCUAAUAUUAAAAAUAACCUUUCUACGUUCCAACCUAUUUCUAAUAUACUCUAGAGUUAAAAUCUGUUAAUUAACUCUAUUAUCUCUGUAAAAUUACUAUUUUAUCCUUUCAAAUAUACCUUUCCAUCAUCACUGACUUUCUUAUUUUUUCUUAAAGUCAGGGGCACAAAAAGUAUUUUGACUUUUGGUCUUUUUCAAUAUAUUCCUCUACCGUCACCAAUAUUUCUUAUUUGCCCUUAAGUUUAGGGUAAAAUUGAUAUUUUAAUUUUUUUUAACUGUCGUAGAUAUUUAACUCAUAUUUAACCCAAGUUAACUUAACAGGAGAUAACUGUCGGGGUAUUUUGCAAUAACGGUCGAACAUAUAAGGGGUAUUUUAGAAAGAAAAAAAAAAGAAGGAUAAAUCGGAUAUUUUCAAACGUGUAAUGGGUAUAUAGGCAAUUAUCCUUAAUUUUUAUCAUAUCAGAGAUAAUAUAAUAAUUAUAUAUUAAAAUAAUAUUUUAAAAAUCUUAUUUUUAUUUU